rnacentral:rRNA from 1 species
UGGGGAAUAUUGGACAAUGGGGGGAACCCUGAUCCAGCCAUGCCGCGUGUGUGAAGAAGGCCUUAUGGUUGUAAAGCACUUUAAGCGAGGAGGAGGGUACUGGUAUUAAUACUACCAGGUACUGGACGUUACUCGCAGAAUAAGCACCGGCUAACUCUGUGCCAGCAGCCGCGGUAAUACAGAGGGUGCGAGCGUUAAUCGGAUUUACUGGGCGUAAAGCGUGCGUAGGCGGCUAAUUGAGUCGGAUGUGAAAUCCCCGAGCUUAACUUGGGAAUUGCAUUCGAUACUGGUUAGCUAGAGUGUGGGAGAGGAUGGUAGAAUUCCAGGUGUAGCGGUGAAAUGUGUAGAGAUCUGGAGGAAUACCGAUGGCGAAGGCAGCCAUCUGGCCUAACACUGACGCUGAGGUACGAAAGCAUGGGGAGCAAACAGG